rnacentral:rRNA from 1 species
GACGAACGCUGGCGGCGUGCCUAAUACAUGCAAGUAGAACGCUGAAGGAGGAGCUUGCUUCUCUGGAUGAGUUGCGAACGGGUGAGUAACGCGUAGGUAACCUGCCUGGUAGCGGGGGAUAACUAUUGGAAACGAUAGCUAAUACCGCAUAAUAGUAGAUGUUGCAUGACAUUUGCUUAAAAGGUGCAAUUGCAUCACUACCAGAUGGACCUGCGUUGUAUUAGCUAGUUGGUGGGGUAACGGCUCACCAAGGCGACGAUACAUAGCCGACCUGAGAGGGUGAUCGGCCACCCUGGGACUGAGACACGGCCCAGACUCCUACGGGAGGCAGCAGUAGGGAAUCUUCGGCAAUGGACGGAAGUCUGACCGAGCAACGCCGCGUGAGUGAAGAAGGUUUUCGGAUCGUAAAGCUCGGUUGUAAGAGAAGAACGAGUGUGAGAGUGGAAAGUUCACACUGUGACGGUAUCUUACCAGAAAGGGACGGCUAACUACGUG